rnacentral:lncRNA from 1 species
AAGGAGAGAAAGGAACAUCUGGACUCUUAGACAUUUUAGUUUCAGGGCUGGAUUGAUAGCUCAGCAGUUAAGAGGUCCUGAGUUCAAUUCCCAGCAACCUCGUAGUGACUCACAACCAUCCAUGUAACACAGGAUCCGUUGCUUUCUUCUGGCAUUCAGGUGUCCAUGCAAGUAGAGCACUCAUAUACAUAAGAUGAAUACAUCUUUAAAGAAAGAAAAAGAAAGCUCGGUUUCAGUGGUUGGAUAAGUGGACGGAAGUUAGAGGCUGGGGUGGGUGGAACCUUCAGGGAGAACACCUGGAGGAAGUGGGAAGCAAGACAAAUCUCCAACAGCACAGUGUGGAAAUGAAGGCCUUCUGAGGGCUGGAAUCAUUAAUCACUAAAGUGUAUCCUAACGUUGCCUGUGUGCCGGUCAGCCUUCUGAACGCUUCACCCCUGUGAUGAGCUCGUUCCUCCUUCCUGCCAACGAUAAGAUGGGAGCUGUUCUUAUCCUAAACACACAGAGGUUAAAGAAAGGUUGUCCAGUGGAUAUCAAAGCCCUUGUUUUAACCGAAGCCGUUUGGAUCCAGAAUCCUUGCUCCAGGUCCCUAAUACCACACUCGCUGUGCUUCGUUGAAGCGAUAAACACAUUUUGCUACAUGGCCUGGUGGAAUUCAGCACUUGAAAACUGGAACCAGGCAGAACAGAAUCAAUGUCCACCUCAGCAACAAAAUGGGUUCCAGGCUAGCCUGAGCUACAUGAAACCGUGUUUUUUUUUUUUUAAAAAAAAAAAAAAAAAAAAAAAAAAAAGCUUCCCUUUCCACACCCACUCAGAAAAGAAUACCAUAAAGAAGCUAACAUCUAAACUAGAGGGGAAAAUAUAGAUUUAUUCAUAUAUAGAAUAACUGUUGAUUAACAUGCCACUAUGUACCGGGCUAUGUUCUACUAAGAAUUAUCAAGGAAGGAAGUAAAAAUAAAAGAUAAAAAGCCCUAGGCUGGCAAGGUGGCUCAGUGCACAAAGGCAACUUGCUAUCAAGCCAGACCACCGGACUUGGAUCCUAAGAAUCCUCGUGGUGGAGGAAGAGUAGUGAUUCCAGAAGGCUGCCUGUGACUGCAGGGCAUGCCAGAGCACACACACU